UGGGCUUGUUCAGCCUGGAGAAAAGAAGGCUGUGGGGUGACCUCAUGGCAGCCUUUCAGUACCUAAAGGGAGCCUACAGACAGGAGGGGAAUCAACUCUUUGAAAGGGGAAAUAACAGCAGGACAAGGGGAAAUGGCUUUAAGUUGAAGGAGGGAAGAUUUAGGUUGGAUGUCAGGGGGAAGUUCUUUACUAUGAGAGUGGUGAGGUGCUGGAACAGCUGCCCAGAGAGGCUGUGAUGCCCCGUCCAUCCCUGGAGGUGUUCAAGGCCAGGUUGGAUGGGGCCCUGGGCAGCCUGGGCUGCUAUGAAAUGUGGAGGUUGGUGGCCCCGCGUGUGGAGGGGGGUUGGAGCUUCAUGAUCCUUGAGGUCCCUUCCAACCCAACCAUUCUGUGAUUCUGUGAAAAGCUUCAGCCAAGUCUGGAUGCUUCUCAACACUGUCCACCAGUGAGCUGCCCAGCACCAACAGCAAAGCCGUAAUUAAGGAACAAGAACUUUGGAGACAAUGCACACAUGUGA